GCUGGUGCAGCUCAGUGGAAGAAUGUUUGCUUAGUAUGCAAGAGGCCCUGGGUUCAAUCCCCAGCCCUGCA
rnacentral:tRNA from 1 species